AUUGAACGCUGGCGGCAUGCUUUACACAUGCAAGUCGAACGGCAGCGCGGGGCAACCUGGCGGCGAGUGGCGAACGGGUGAGUAAUACAUCGGAACGUACCCAGAAGUGGGGGAUAACGUAGCGAAAGUUACGCUAAUACCGCAUACGUUCUACGGAAGAAAGUGGGGGACCUUCGGGCCUCAUGCUUUUGGAGCGGCCGAUGUCUGAUUAGCUAGUUGGUGAGGUAAAGGCUCACCAAGGCGAUGAUCAGUAGCUGGUCUGAGAGGACGACCAGCCACACUGGGACUGAGACACGGCCCAGACUCCUACGGGAGGCAGCAGUGGGGAAUUUUGGACAAUGGGCGCAAGCCUGAUCCAGCAAUGCCGCGUGAGUGAAGAAGGCCUUCGGGUUGUAAAGCUCUUUUGUCAGGGAAGAAACGGCUGAGGAUAAUACCUUCGGCUAAUGACGGUACCUGAAGAAUAAGCACCGGCUAACUACGUG
rnacentral:rRNA from 1 species